UUUUUUUUUUUUCUUUAGUUAAUUUUUUUUUAAAUUGCUUAUUGACCUCUUUUUAAAUAUUUAGAAGCUUUAGAUGAUGAUUUGAUGUUUAUGGUGCAACCACAACAAAAUGCUCAACAACAACCACAUUCUGAACCGCAACAACAACUACAAUCAGGCAAAAAAAAAAUCCAAUGUAUUUAAAGUCUCUUUUUAAAAAAAUUUUAAAAAAGAUUUCUAUUAAAAAAAAAAUAUUAUGCGUGUUUAUUUUUUAAUACUAAUUUGUAGUGCAAACAACAACCUGGUAAGAAAUUAAUUUUAUACGUUUUUCAAUAAUCUUUUUUUUAUAAAAAACCUAUUUUUAUUUGUUGUGCUGUUGAUAUCAAAUUGUUUUUCUAAUACUUAAUUAUUACUUUUUAUCUUUUUUUAUAUUUUAACUAGAAACACAACAAUUACAAUAUGUACAACAACAACCACAAUCAG